UACGUAGGGUGCGAGCGUUACUCGGAAUUACUGGGCGUAAAGCGUGCGCAGGCGGUUAUUUAAGUCAGGUGUGAAAGCCCUGGGCUUAACCUAGGAAUUGCGCUUGAGACUGGAUAGCUUGGAGUGCGGCAGAGGGAGGUGGAAUUCCACGUGUAGCAGUGAAAUGCGUAGAGAUGUGGAGGAACACCGAUGGCGAAGGCAGCCUCCUGGGCCAGCACUGACGCUCAUGCACGAAAGCGUGGGGAGCAAACAGG
rnacentral:rRNA from 1 species